CGAAUGCUGACGUGAGUAACGACAAAACGGGUGAAAAACCCGUUCGCCGAAAGACCAAGGGUUCCAGUCCAACGUUAAUCGGGGCUGGGUGAGUCGACCCCUAAGGCGAGGCCGAAAGGCGUAGUCGAUGGGAAAAUGGUUAAUAUUCCAUUACUUCUGUGUAAUGCGAUGAGAGGACGGAGAAGGCUAAAUCAGCCUGGCGUUGGUUGUCCAGGUGAAAGGAUGUAGGCAUGUAUCUUAGGCAAAUCCGGGGUACUCUAUGCUGAGAUCUGAUAGCAAGCUGUACUUGUACAGCGAAGUGGUUGAUGCCAUGCUUCCAGGAAAAGUCUCUAAGCUUCAGUUACACAGGAAUCGUACCCGAAACCGACACAGGUGGUCAGGUCGAGUAGACCAAGGCGCUUGAGAGAACUCUGCUGAAGGAACUAGGCAAAAUGGUACCGUAACUUCGGGAGAAGGUACGCUGUUGUUGGUGAUGGAACUCGCUUCCUGAGCUGA
rnacentral:rRNA from 1 species